rnacentral:rRNA from 1 species
GACAGAGGUGCCGAGCGUUAGGCGGAAUCACUGGGCUUAAAGCGUGUGUAGGCGGGUCGUUAAGUACCUUGUGAAAUCCCCCGGCUCAACCGGGGAAUGGCUGGGUAUACUGGCGAUCUUGAGCGAUCCAGGGGCAGAUGGAACAAGUGGUGGAGCGGUGAAAUGCGUAGAUAUCUGGAGGAACACCGGUGGCGAAGGCGGCAUCCUGGACCGAGAUUGACGCUGAUGCGCGAAAGCCAGGGGAGCAAACGGG